rnacentral:rRNA from 1 species
UGGGGAAUCUUGCGCAAUGGGCGAAAGCCUGACGCAGCAACGCCGCGUGCGGGAUGACGGCCUUCGGGUUGUAAACCGCUUUCAGUGGGGACGAACCAAGACGGUACCCACAGAAGAAGCCCCGGCCAACUACGUGCCAGCAGCCGCGGUAACACGUAGGGGGCAAGCGUUGUCCGGAUUUAUUGGGCGUAAAGAGCUCGUAGGUGGCUCAGUAAGUCGGGUGUGAAACCUCCAGGCUCAACCUGGAGAC